rnacentral:lncRNA from 1 species
GCCCCUAGUUUGUAGCUCUACUAGCUUCAACUUCCUCUACAUUGAAUACAUUCAGUGACCUUGAAUCUAUUUGCUAUAAGUAGUCUGUACUACCUCUUUAUACUCUUGUAAUUGCAUCACUAUAGAUAGUAAUCUAAAAGGCUUUUUCACUUUCAACUUAACAACAUCAGUAUUAAUCAUAAUAGGCAAGUGAUCUGAGCAACCUGGUAGCAUAUAAAUAGCCUCCACACCAUUAUACUGUUGGAACCAAUCAGCAUUUUCAAAAGGCCUCUCUUUCUGACUAUAAAUUCUUAUAGCAGCAUCCUUAUUCUUUCUCCAUGAAAUUUUGCAGCCUCUUUUUGUGAUUUUCCCCACCCCAAUAUCAUUACUACAGUUUUGAAAGUCAGUUUAUCUCUAUUUGAUGAACACGGACUCCAUUCAUUCUCUCAUCCACACGUAUCACUCUAUUAAAAUCACCUAUUAUAAGCCAAGGUCCAUUAUUUUAAAUAUUCCUCAAGCUUCUCCAGAGUUGGAUUCUGUGCUGAAUAGUAUGUAGUCCAUAUAUAAAA